rnacentral:rRNA from 1 species
GACGAACGCUGGCGGCGUGCUUAACACAUGCAAGUCGAACGGAAAGGCCCUGCUUGCAGGGUACUCGAGUGGCGAACGGGUGAGUAACACGUGGGUGAUCUGCCCUGCACUUCGGGAUAAGCCUGGGAAACUGGGUCUAAUACCGGAUAGGAGCCAUUUUUAGCGUGAUGGUUGGAAAGUUUUUUCGGUGUAGGAUGAGCUCGCGGCCUAUCAGCUUGUUGGUGGGGUAAUGGCCUACCAAGGCGGCGACGGGUAGCCGGCCUGAGAGGGUGGACGGCCACAUUGGGACUGAGAUACGGCCCAGACUCCUACGGGAGGCAGCAGUGGGGAAUAUUGCACAAUGGGCGCAAGCCUGAUGCAGCGACGCCGCGUGGGGGAUGACGGCCUUCGGGUUGUAAAAUCCUUUCGCUAGGGACGAAGCUUUUUGUGACGGUACCUAGAUAAGAAGCACCGGCUAACUACGUG